AUGGCGCAGCGGAGGGGCAGCGACACCUGUGUGUAUGCGCCCACGUUCGAGACCCCCCUCGUCUGCCACCCCCACUCCUUGCUAGUGUACCCAGCCCUACCGGGAGCCCUGCAGCGGCGGUGGGACCAGGUGGAACAGGACCUGGCUGACGAGCUGAUCACCCCCCAGGGCCAUGAGAAGUUGCUGCAGACACUUUUUGAGGACGCCGGCUACUUAAGGAGCCCAGAAGAAAAUGAAGCCCCCAAGCUGGAGGGAGGUCCUGAUGGCUUGGGUUUUGAGACCCUGGAAAACUGCAGGAAGGCUCAUAAAGAACUGUCAAAGGAGAUGAAAAGGCUGAAAGGUCUGCUCACCCCGCAUGGCAUCCCCCACGCAAAGCCCAGGGAAACCUCCAGCUUGGAACACUUCCGCCACAAGAUGCCCAGACCGGGGCCUGCAGAGCAGCUGCGGGGCGACCUGGGCCUGCAUGGGAGCUUGUGAGCCUUUGGUGUGAAGAGCCCCACAGAGAAGCCGGCCAGUGGGAAUCCCCAGGGACCAGCCGGCCAGGCUUGUGCUCAGAGAAGCAAACAAAACAAAGAUUCAAGGUUUUAAUUAAUUCCCAUACUGAUAAAAAUAAUUCCAUGAAUUCUGUAAACCAUUGCAUAAAUGCCAUAGUGUAAAAAACUUAAACAAGCGUUACCUUUAAACAAUUACUACAAGUAAAUGAUUAUGCAUUAUAAAA